ACGUCUUUCAGAGUUGUACCGCGUCUCGUUGCUUUUUCAACAACAGUUGCCGCAUGAGCGCAGCUUUAGGACGCCAUUUCAACAAAAACUUCUAGGACUGCAAAGUGCGCGCGCGCAAGUUCAGGUGACCACAAGCAGUAUGGCGGGAGCUGCAUAUUGUAAACAACGCCAAAUGACGAUUUUCCUGGAAAGGUCUGUCAAGAGUUAUUGAAGUCAUUCAACGUUUGUCAACUUCCAUCUGAUGCUUUAAAAGUAACUGUAGUUGUCAAAGACACCAUAUGACUGUUGCAUUAAAACAAAAAAAUGACAGCGUCUGAGACCAGACACUUUCGACAUACAGGGCCAAGCUGUGUUGAAAGCUGGGAAUAAACGUUUUUGUCAUAUCAAGAUCUAAAGAAACAAGUAAAGCAAGGUUGGGGCUGUAAGCUUCAUGAGUUGCUGUGGACUUGGCGGCUAAUUGAGGAGCAGCUCCACACCCUGUCGUCAUUAAUCACUAGGGCUGCCGGGCUGCCUGCCCGGGACACUGAUGUGAUGGGAUGCAGCUCU